rnacentral:rRNA from 1 species
AUUCCAGCUCCAAUAGCGUAUAUUAAAGUUGUUGCAGUUAAAAAGCUCGUAGUUGGAUUUCUGGACGGAGCGACCGGUCUGCCGUUUAUACGGUGUGUACUUGUGUUCGACUCUGUUCAUCCUUGUGGGGAAGCGCAUUACGGCAUUAGUUUGUCGUGGCGGGGAACCGCAUCUUUUACUGUGAAAAAAUUAGAGUGUUUAAAGCAGGCAUUUUGCUGUGAAUACAUUAGCAUGGAAUAAUAAGAUAGGACUUUGGUGGUCUAUUUUGUUGGUUUGCACACCAAGGUAAUGAUUAAUAGGGACAGUUGGGGGUAUCCGUAUUUCGUAGUCAGAGGUGAAAUUCUUGGAUUUACGAGAGACGAACUACCGCGAAAGCAUUUACCAAGGAUGUUUUCAUCA